rnacentral:rRNA from 1 species
AUUGAACGCUGGCGGCAGGCUUAACACGUGCAAGUCGAGCGGAGCGAGGGUGCUUGCACCUUAGCUUAGCGGCGGACGGGUGAGUAAUGCUUAGGAAUCUGCCUAUUAGUGGGGGACAACAUUCCGAAAGGGAUGCUAAUACCGCAUACGCCCUACGGGGGAGAGCAGGGGAUCUUCGGACCUUGCGCUAAUAGAUGAGCCUAAGUCGGAUCAGCUAGUUGGUGGGGUAAAGGCCUACCAAGGCGACGAUCUGUAGCGGGUCUAAGAGGAUGAUCCGCCACACUGGGACUGGGACACGGCCCAGACUCCUACGGGAGGCAGCAGUGGGGAAUAUUGGACAAUGGGCGGAAGCCUGAUCCAGCCAUGCCGCGUGUGUGAAGAAGGCCUUUUGGUUGUAAAGCACUUUAAGCGAGGAGGAGGCUACUAGUAUUAAUACUACUGGAUAGUGGACGUUACUCGCAGAACAAGCACCGGCUAACUCUGUGCCAGCCGCCGCAGUAA